rnacentral:rRNA from 1 species
GACGAACGCUGGCGGCGUGCCUAAUACAUGCAAGUUGAGCGCUGAAGGUUGGUACUUGUACCGACUGGAUGAGCAGCGAACGGGUGAGUAACGCGUGGGGAAUCUGCCUUUGAGCGGGGGACAACAUUUGGAAACGAAUGCUAAUACCGCAUAAAAACUUUAAACACAAGUUUUAAGUUUGAAAGAUGCAAUUGCAUCACUCAAAGAUGAUCCCGCGUUGUAUUAGCUAGGUGGUGAGGUAAAGGCUCACCAAGGCGAAGAUACAUAGCCGACCUGAGAGGGUGGUCGGCCACAAUGGGAAUGAGACACGGCCCAAACUCCUACGGGAGGCAGCAGGAGGGGAUCUUCGGCAAUGGACGGAAGUCUGACCGAGCAACGCCGCGUGAGUGAAGAAGGUUUUCGGAUCGGAAAACUCUUUUGGUAGAGAAGAACGUUGGUGGGAGUGGAAAGCUCAUCAAGUGACGGUAACUACCCAGAAAGGGACGGCUAACUACGUG